CUCUAUCUGUAAACCAGAUGUGAUUCCCUGCACUCUCCAGGUGAAAGUGCCGACCUCGUGGAGAAAGCAUUAAAACGCAGAUCUUAAUUCCCAGAAAUCCGAAUUACGUCCUUCCUGUUUCUCCCCACUUCCACUGCCACCCUCUCGUUCUGAAAACAUACAGCACUGCAUCGAAUGGAUGUGGGCGCUGAGAUUUCCCCUCUAAGAUCAUCCUACAGCAAACCUGCAAGCUGGGGAGCUCGGCUUCCCUUCCCAAGCACUGGAAAGCCCCUGAAAAUAAUACAUAUAUAGUUUUCUCCCCAAAUACGUGUUGGUGGCUAUAGAAACUGAGUGCAGGAGUCCAACAAGAACAGAAUCCUGCGCUGCUUUUAUUACGUAUUCAUGCAAACAGCCCUCUGUCCAAGCGUGAGGCCAUCACUUAUCCUUUCUCUUGCAAUGCGAUUUCUGGGGACGAAUCCCCUCUAUUUCUUCUUGCUGUUUGCAUCAGCGAAGUGCGAACUCGCCCGUGGCACCCGGAGAAACCGCAGCAAUAACAAUAAACAGCGAUGCAUACAUUUACAAGGAGACGUUCCGUACCGGACUUGAUUUAUUUACUCUGUUUAAAACGGAGUUAAAACUCACGUGGCAGCAAAAAAAAAAAAACCGAUACGGCUGGAAGAGAUGGGAGCUGUGAUGCUGUCAGUGCACGUGUGUGUUUGUGCGCACAUCCACGAAGCAAAACGCGGCGUUGGUUUCAGCCGUGGCUUCACGUUGUGGGGUAACAACUUCUCACCUGGUUGAAAGAUACCUAUUUGUACGCUGUGAAAUGUGAGAUUUCAUGUCCCAUUGGCGGCGCAUUCGAUCAAAUCGGGGCUGAACGGGUCCGUAGGAAAUUAAAGGACGGAUUUAAAGUUAAAAAUCCUCUUGCGGUGCUUUCUGAGAGAGCUGCGCUGCUCGUUAAUACAUAGAGAUGUAAAUGACAGCGGUCGUGGGUAGAUGGGUCGAAUAAAUCACUAAACCCCAUCAUUUCGGUAACAGAGGAUCGAGAGGAGAGCGCAAACCGUGCGGGGAACUUCUUCCCUCUUUUCUCCGUUCCCAAUCCCUCUGUGCGGAUGAGCCCCGACCGUUCAUAGAGCUGCUCCCUGUUUUCCCCUCCGCCUUUCUUGGGGGGACUGCGGGGCCCCAAGGAGAGAAAGGAAACGUUCCGCGGGUGCGGAGCUCCGAGGUGCGGGGCUGCGCCCAACCGUGCGCUGCGUUUCCUCCUCUUUUCAGCCCUAUCCGGCUGAUAUCGGCGCUUUUAAUUUUAAUUUAUAUAUAUUUAAUUACUAGCUCGUCAAGCCUCAGCCACCCAAGCCUUUCUUUUUUUAUUCCGUGGUGCUUUUUUUGCUGCUCACCCCCCCCCCCAU
rnacentral:lncRNA from 1 species